AUGGGAACGCGAAGAACCUUACCUAGACUUGACAUCUCCUGAAUAGUGUAGAGAUACAUGAAGCCCUUCGGGGCGAGGAAGACAGGUGGUGCAUGGUUGUCGUCAGCUCGUGUCGUGAGAUGUUGGGUUAAGUCCCGCAACGAGCGCAACCCUUAUUACUAGUUGCUACCAUUAAGUUGAGCACUCUAGUGAGACUGCCCGGGUUAACCGGAGGAAGGCGGGAUGACGUCAAAUCAUCAUGCCCCUUAUGUCUAGGGCAACACACGUGCUACAAUGGUGAGUACAGAUAGAUGCGAUACCGCAAGGUGGAGCCAAACUCUAAAACUCAUCCCAGUUCGGAUUGUAGGCUGCAACUCGCCUACAUGAAGUUGGAGUUGCUAGUAAUCGCGAAUCAGAAUGUCGCGGUGAAUACGUUCCCGGGUCUUGUACACACCG
rnacentral:rRNA from 1 species